rfam:Cricetulus griseus cell line CHO-K1, whole genome shotgun sequence.
GGGUGUUUAGCUCAGUAGUAGAGCACUUGGUUAAUAUACAAAGGCACUGGGUUCAAUCCCCAGCACUGCCA